AUUGAACGCUGGCGGCAUGCCUUACACAUGCAAGUCGAACGGCAGCGGGGGAGAAGCUUGCUUUUCCCGCCGGCGAGUGGCGAACGGGUGAGUAAUACAUCGGAACGUGCCCUGUAGUGGGGGAUAACUAGUCGAAAGAUCAGCUAAUACCGCAUACGACCUGAGGGUGAAAGUGGGGACCGCAAGGCCUCAUGCUAUAGGAGCGGCCGAUGUCUGAUUAGCUAAUUGGUGGGGUAAAGGCCUACCAAGGCGACGAUCAGUAGUUGGUCUGAGAGGACGAUCAGCCGAACUGGGACGGAGACACGGCCCAGAGUCCUACGGGAGGCAGCAGUGGGGAAUUUUGGACAAUGGGCGAAAGCCUGAUCCAGCAAUGCCGCGUGUGUGAAGAAGGCCUUCGGGUUGUAAAGCACUUUUGUCCGGAAAGAAAUGGCUCUGGUUAAUACCUGGGGUCGAUGACGGUACCGGAAGAAUAAGGACCGGCUAACUACGUGCCAGCAGCCGCCGUAACAC
rnacentral:rRNA from 1 species